rnacentral:misc_RNA from 1 species
AAGUCGUAACAAGGUUUCCAUCAAGGGACAUUCACCUUUGAAGCUUUGCAUCUUCAGUCUGCUCGAUGCAGGCAACACCAGUCUGUUGCUGAGACCUUUCACGUUGAAGAUCAGCAGCCGCAUCACAGCUUGUUUUGCGGUCCACAGAUCAAACACUGGUGGCCUAUGUGGUAGACACUUUGCGUGUCUGUAGGUUAAAAUAUGACCGGCGUCACCUAAAAAUAGGUGAUACAUUAUGCGUUCCGUAGGUGAACCUGCGGAAGGAUCAUUACAGAGUUGGGGUCUUUCAGGCCCAACCUCCAACCCUAUGCGUAUUCACCUUUGUUGCUUUGGCGGGCCCGUUGAGGCAACUCACCGGUGGUCACAGGCUGUCGAGCGCCCGUCAAAGACUCACUGAACUCGUGUAAAUUGUGAUGUCGGAGUACGAAUACAAUUAUUAAAACUUUCAACAACGGAUCUCUUGGUUCUG